rnacentral:rRNA from 1 species
CAACUCGCCUGCAUGAAGUCGGAAUUGCUAGUAAUCGCGGAUCAGCAUGCCGCGGUGAAUACGUUCUCGGGCCUUGUACACACCGCCCGUCACACCAUGGGAGUCGGUAACACCCGAAGUCUGUAGCCUGACGCAAGAGGGCGCAGCCGAAGGUGGGAUUGAUGACUGGGGUGAAGUCGUAACAAGGUACC